AUGAACGCUGGCGGCGUGCCUAAUACAUGCAAGUCGAGCGAACGGACGAGAAGCUUGCUUCUCUGAUGUUAGCGGCGGACGGGUGAGUAACACGUGGAUAACCUACCUAUAAGACUGGGAUAACUUCGGGAAACCGGAGCUAAUACCGGAUGAUAUUUUGAACCGCAUGGUUCAAAAGUGAAAGACGGUCUUGCUGUCACUUAUAGAUGGAUCCGCGCUGCAUUAGCUAGUUGGUAAGGUAACGGCUUACCAAGGCAACGAUGCAUAGCCGACCUGAGAGGGUGAUCGGCCACACUGGAACUGAGACACGGUCCAGACUCCUACGGGAGGCAGCAGUAGGGAAGCUUCCGCAAUGGGCGAAAGCCUGACGGAGCAACGCCGCGUGAGUGAUGAAGGUCUUCGGAUCGUAAAACUCUGUUAUUAGGGAAGAACAUAUGUGUAAGUAACUGUGCACAUCUUGACGGUACCUAAUCAGAAAGCCGCGGCUAACUACGU
rnacentral:rRNA from 1 species